UUUGAGUUUGAUCGUGGCUCAGAUUGAACGAUGGCGGCAGGCUUAACACAUGCAAGUCGAGCUGGUAGCACAGGGGAGCUUGCUCCCUGGGUGACGAGCGGCGGACGGGUGAGUAAUGUCUGGGAAACUGCCUGAUGGAGGGGGAUAACUACUGGAAACGGUAGCUAAUACCGCAUAACGUCGCAAGACCAAAGAGGGGGACCUUCGGGCCUCUUGCCAUCAGAUGUGCCCAGAUGGGAUUAGCUAGUAGGUGGGGUAAUGGCUCACCUAGGCGACGAUCCCUAGCUGGUCUGAGAGGAUGACCAGCCACACUGGAACUGAGACACGGUCCAGACUCCUACGGGAGGCAGCAGUGGGGAAUAUUGCACAAUGGGCGCAAGCCUGAUGCAGCCAUGCCGCGUGUGUGAAGAAGGCCUUCGGGUUGUAAAGCACUUUCAGCGAGGAGGAAGGUGGUGAACUUAAUACGUUCAUCAAUUGACGUUACUCGCAGAAGAAGCACCGGCUAACUCCGUGCCAGCCGCCGCCGUAACACAAA
rnacentral:rRNA from 1 species